AUCACAGUCAGCUCACUCUUGGGAAUGGAUGUUGAGGCCUCGGGUGUGGGUUCUGUCUCACCAGCUACAAGUCCGGGGCACACCCUGUAGACACACCAGGAAAGGCAUUGAGCAUGCAUCAAAUUGAGAUUGCCCCCACUGUCUCAGGAAUUGGGCUCCUGGAUACACAAACUAAACACAUCCUUGUUGCUGCGGCACGUUGGCAAGGGAGAUGAGAGGGGUAUAAGUAUGGGACAGAAGAAGGAGAGAACGUUAGGAGAGACAAGAUGAUGUAACCAAGCAAUAAAGUUUCUGCAUUAGAGGUAUCAGAACUGCUCUGUCCUAUCCGGAGACUUCUGAAGGUCACAGAGGCGAUGAUAAUUGGGUGAUUUCAGGGAUUCAUCAAAGACUAAAGCACCAAGUAAUGUUAAGUGCCACAAAAUGUUGCCAUUAGAAUGUUUUUAUGAAACUGCAUCAAAACUAGACCCUAAUCCAGGCUGAUACAAGGCUCCUCCACUGAAUACAAAGGGUGAGAUGGGACCUCAGAGACAUCUAAAUCAACUCCUUUAUUUUAUAGAAGAGAAAAUGAAAGGAAAUCAAGAAAUUCAUUACUGCGCUCAUCAGGAGAAGGCAGAUACAUAGUAACAGCAUCUAAUAAGGGUUGUAUCCCUUUAUUCUUCAAGGCACUUCCACAGAGCACAGGAACAGCUCUCUGAGCCACAGUUACUUUACGUAUUGCAGGGUAUAACUACAAAGAAUACACAAAAAUAGCAGUUUUUCCUUAUUAAAGCCUUAGCUUGGAAGUAUUAUACAUCUGUCAGAACAAACCAUUUCCAAAUAAGAGUUUUACAAAUGCACA